rnacentral:rRNA from 1 species
AGCGAACGCUGGCGGCAGGCCUAACACAUGCAAGUCGAACGAACUCUUCGGAGUUAGUGGCGGACGGGUGAGUAACACGUGGGAACGUGCCUUUUGGUUCGGAAUAACUCAGGGAAACUUGUGCUAAUACCGAAUGUGCCCUUCGGGGGAAAGAUUUAUCGCCAUUAGAGCGGCCCGCGUCUGAUUAGCUAGUUGGUGAGGUAACGGCUCACCAAGGCGACGAUCAGUAGCUGGUCUGAGAGGAUGACCAGCCACACUGGGACUGAGACACGGCCCAGACUCCUACGGGAGGCAGCAGUGGGGAAUCUUGCGCAAUGGGCGAAAGCCUGACCCAGCCAUGCCGCGUGAAUGAUGAAGGUCUUAGGAUUGUAAAAUUCUUUCACCGGGGACGAUAAUGACGGUACCCGGAGAAGAAGCCCCGGCUAACUUCGUG